rnacentral:rRNA from 1 species
AUGAACGCUAGCGGCAGGCCUAAUACAUGCACGUCGCACGAGAUUAAGAGGCUUGCUUCUUAUGAAAGUGGCGCACGGGUGCGUAACGCGUAUGCAACCUACCUUAAUCAGGGGGAUAGCCCGAAGAAAUUCGGAUUAAGACCGCAUAAAAACACAGGAUAGCAUUAUCCAAUGUUCAAAUAUUUAUAGGAUUAAGAUGGGCAUGCGUGUCAUUAGCUAGUUGGCGGGGUAACGGCCCACCAAGGCGACGAUGACUAGGGGAUCUGAGAGGAUGACCCCCCACACUGGUACUGAGACACGGACCAGACUCCUACGGGAGGCAGCAGUAAGGAAUAUUGGUCAAUGGAGGGAACUCUGAACCAGCCAUGCCGCGUGCAGGAAGACAGCCCUCUGGGUCGUAAACUGCUUUUAUUCGGGAAUAAACCUUUCUACGUGUAGGAAGCUGAAUGUACCGAAGGAAUAAGGAUCGGCUAACUCCGUG